CAGAUAUUUGCAUGCUGACUUUAUAAAUAUUGCUGUGGUGGAAAGAGCAAAGUGAGAAUUCGACAUGGAAGAGUUCUGUAGACCACACUGCCUUCCCACCAUGGCUGUGGGUUUGUCUCCAUGCCUAACGGGGGCAGGAUUCUUCUCCUGGGAAGCUGAGAGGCCUCAGAGAAAAAUAUAAACAAUAAUUAUCUGAUUUGCUUCUCCUGUUUUGCUGCUUUGGAAUGUGGAUGAGAUGACUGUUCCUAUGCUGGAGCUCUAGCACCUUUGCGUGCCUCUCUUCACAGAAUCCAUGGGGCAGAGGGCUCAAAGUCUUCUCAUACUCCUGCAGCCCUUUAGAAUAAGAACCAAUUCCAGCAGGCCUGAUGAGAAAUGUGAAUGAAAACCUUGAUUAUUAAAGGCUUUUUCCAU